rnacentral:tRNA from 1 species
GCCGGUGUGGCUCAAUGGCAGAGCAGCGCUUUCGUAAAGCGAAGAUUGGUGGUUCGAUUCCACCCACCGGCU